rnacentral:lncRNA from 1 species
CCUGACUAGUUUCCUUAUAUAAAUAUCUGGGUCCAGGCUUGUGAAGAGCCUCCGGCUUGGCUGCAGCAUUGUUCCCUGUGAACAGACACUUGCAUUCUGGUUAUGGCACCAAGGGGACCCCAAGAGGUCAAAACCCGGUCUCCCAAGCUGGUGCUCUCACAAGAUCCUGAUCCCUUAGACCUCUUAAUAAGACCUCCACCCUAUGUGGAGCCAUCCACCUCCUCUGAUAAAGCCAGCCCCAGAUCUUGAAACCCUUUCUACCCUCCUCUUCCCAAAGAGGAAAAAUCUCCGGAUUCUGUAAUCUCUCCCUCCCACACGCAAACAGGGGCUGCUUAUGGUCCCAGUGAAGCUCCCUCUGAGGGGACUGGUUCAGUUCCUCUUUUGCCUCUUCAGGAAACAGAGCAGGGUCAUUAUGUCUAUAUCCCUUUUUCUACCAGUGACUUAUACAAUUGGAAACAUCAAAAUCCCCCUUUUGCAGAAAAACCCCAGGUUUUGAUCUCCCUCCUAGAAUCUGUUUUUCAUAUCCAUGAUCCUACCUGGGAUGACUGUCAACAACUCCUCCAAGCCCUUUUUACCUCUGAGGAAAGAGAAAGAAUUCAAGGGCAAGCCAUAAAAUCAGUAUUGGGAGGAACAGAAGGGCCCUCUUGAUGAGCAACAAUGAGCCCAUAUCAAGGCGCAACUUCCAUCCACCCAUCCCCGGUGGCAAGCUAAUUCCUCGGGCAGGAGAGAAGCUCUCCAAAACUACCAUCAGCAUCUCCUAGCCAGCUUGAAGGGAGCUGCUCAGAAGCCUACCAAUUUGAGCAAGGUUUGAUUCCAAGACCCUAGAACCACGUUGGAAGGGACCGGUUCCUGUUGUCCUGUCAACUCCCUUGGCAGUGAAGAUAGCUGGACAUUCUGCCUGGAAACAUCGCAACCAUCUGAAGGCAGGACCCCCUGCGGAUGUCACGAAGGACAAAUGGAAGGUUAUCAGCCAACCAGGUGACCGAAAGCUGAGACUGGGGAGGGUUGGAGAUAUUUCUCAUUCAUGAUAAUAUUCUCUGGGACACUGGCGGUACUGCCCCCAAGAAAAUUGGACCACACUGGAAAUGUAUGGUUCAACUGGCAAAAUCACUUAAUCUGUCUGAAUUCUGUCUAAAUAUAGAUGUAAAUUUCCAUUAUGUAUUAGGAAGCUGUCUCAUUCCAGUGUGUACCCCUUUAAGUUUAAUACGGCCCUAUACCCUGUUUAAGGAUAUCCCAGGGAAAAAAAUCUCACUUUAUAAAGAUAGUUACAAUUGGGGCAUUCCUCAUGUCAUAAACCUAAAAAUGCUGACAAAUUAUAUACACCCAGGAUAAUUAUGUCAAAUAAUACCCAACGUGCUAUAUAUGUAAAUUGUACAACCAAGUGUCUGAGAAUAAAACGAUCUGAAGGGAUGCCCUGCCAUAUAAAACAGAAAAUUGUGUAUAACAAUUGCCAUAUCUCCCUGCCGACAGGAUGGUUUUAUACCUGUGAAGGAAUAACUUUCAAUUAUAUUCCAGCCAAUUUAACCAAGACCCAUUGCAGCUUGAGUCGUCUAGCUGUAGUUUUACCAGAUAAAACUGAUUUGAUUAUGCCAAAUAGAACUAAAUGCUGGUCGCCUUAUACUGCGCCAGGAUGUGAUGAUGAUGUAAGUCUUUUGACAGAUGCUAAAGUGAUAUCUAUGAUAGCAUCUUUUGUUGCUCUGCCUUCCAUAGGAGUCCAUGCUGAAAAGGUGGUAUGAAAAUUAGCUUGCAAGGUGGUCAAAGGGUUAAAUGCUACCUCAUCAGCCUUGGCAUUAAUUAACCAGGAGUUACAAGAACAGAGACAAGCAAUCUUAGAUAAUAGAGCAGCUAUAGACUAUUUGUUGCUCUUUCAUCAUCAAGGUUGUGAAAGAAUAAAAAAUAUGUGUUGUUUCAAUCUGACUGACAAUAGUCCAGGAAUUAGAGAAAAGAUAAAACAGUUGGAAGACUUGGCUAAAAGGGUACAUGACGAAAAAGUAGGAUGGGACUUGUUCCAGUGGCUAACUAAAUGGUUGCCCAACCUACAAUGGUUAAAGCAACUUUUUCUCGUAGUUAUAGUUGUGUGCAUAUGCUUAAUAUUGUCGUGCUGCUGUAUACAAUGGAUGCCCACAUUUAUACAUAAGAUUACUUAAGUUGUAAAAUCAGUGGGGAAUGUGGGACCGCAUAACUCUGUAAUCAUAAAGGCUCCCCCAGCCCCAACAUAGUGAUUGAUUGUGAGUGAAUGGUUAAAAUGUGCUUGUUAGUUCUGGGACACUAGAUAAAAUCUGUAACAAACAUAGAGUUCCUAAGUGAAUUAUCCAACUCCUUGUUUGUCCGAAACCGAUGUUCUGACACAGCUAUCUAUAAGACAAUCUGCAAACAUCUUUUGACCAUCAACGUUUUUUCUCUUGCUAAUUUCCCCUGCAACCCCCUAUAAAAACAGCCUCAGGCUCUGAGCCAGUUGCCUCU